ACUCCUACGGGAGGCAGCAGUGAGGAAUUUUGCGCAAUGGGGGAAACCCUGACGCAGCAACGCCGCGUGAGUGAAGAAGGCUUUCGGGUCGUAAAGCUCUGUCAAGAGGGAAGAAUGUAGGAGAUGGUAAUACUGUUUUCUAUUGACGGUACCUCUGAAGGAAGCACCGGCUAACUCCGUGCCAGCAGCCGCGGUAAUACGGGGGGUGCAAGCGUUAUUCGGAUUUAUUGGGCGUAAAGAGCGCGUAGGCGGUUUAUCAAGUCAGAUGUGAAAGCCCUGGGCUCAACCUGGGAAGUGCAUUUGAAACUAGUAGACUUGAGUAUGGGAGAGGGGAGUGGAAUUCCUGGUGUAGAGGUGAAAUUCGUAGAUAUCAGGAGGAACACCGGUGGCGAAGGCGACUUCCUGGACCAAUACUGACGCUGAGGCGCGAAGGCGUGGGGAGCAAACAGGAUUAGAUACCCUGGUAGUCCACGCAGUAAACGGUGAUCACUAGGUGUAGUGGGUAUUGACCCCUGCUGUGCCGCASUUAACGCAUUAAGWGAUCCGCCUGGGGAGUACGAUCGCAAGGUUAAAACUCAAUGAAUUGACGGA
rnacentral:rRNA from 1 species